rnacentral:rRNA from 2 species
CUCUCGGCAACGGAUAUCUCGGCUCACGCAUCGAUGAAGAACGUAGCAAAAUGCGAUACUUGGUGUGAAUUGCAGAAUCCCGUGAACCAUCGAGUUUUUGAACGCAAGUUGCGCCCGAAACCAUUUGGUUGAGGGCACGUCUGCCUGGGCGUCACGCAUCGUGU